rnacentral:rRNA from 1 species
AUUGAACGCUGGCGGCAGGCCUAACACAUGCAAGUCGAGCGGAUGACGGGAGCUUGCUCCUUGAUUCAGCGGCGGACGGGUGAGUAAUGCCUAGGAAUCUGCCUGGUAGUGGGGGACAACGUUUCGAAAGGAACGCUAAUACCGCAUACGUCCUACGGGAGAAAGCAGGGGACCUUCGGGCCUUGCGCUAUCAGAUGAGCCUAGGUCGGAUUAGCUUGUUGGUGAGGUAAUGGCUCACCAAGGCGACGAUCCGUAACUGGUCUGAGAGGAUGAGCAGUCAAACUGGAACUGAGACACGGUCCAGACUCCUACGGGAGGCAGCAGUAGGGAAUAUUGGACAAUGGGCGAAAGCCUGAUCCAGCCAUGCCGCGUGUGUGAAGAAGGUCUUCGGAUUGUAAAGCACUUUAAGUUGGGAGGAAGGGUUGUAGAUUAAUACUCUGCAAUUUUGACGUUACCGACAGAAUAAGCACCGGCUAACUCUGUGCCAGCCGCCGCUGUAAAAC